UUGUUGUUCAUCUAUUAUUACCUUACGAAAUGAAAGAAACUUUUCGGAUAACCUAACAAGUAUAUGGCGAUAGCCUUAAGAUUGCUGCAUAGUAGAGUUUCGUUUGUUUGAACUUUAUUAACUUGAAGGAAGAUACUAGGAAAGAUGAUCAUCAUUCAUACACUGAACUAUAUACAGACGCAAGAGGAGUCGAGAAAGUGUUAAUGUAUUCAGCAAAACUUGAAACUUUCAACUCCUUAGUACCUUGAAACUUAUUUGGAAACCUUGAAAGCGACGUUUCAUUAAAACUGGUCAUUGAAACUCGAAAGUAAUUAUCAGUGUCUGCCGAGAAUCUGGUAGCUUCAAGGACGUUGAACGCAAGCACACAGUUAACCAUGGGAAACAGGUAUCGUCUCACUUGGUAUUAUUAUACCUCGAGAACGAAAGGGGCGAAGGUUUCCUCGCACAUAUAUGCGCACGCUAUCCCUUUCAUCCAUUUUGCUGCAAGAUCAAGGUCUUUUUCCAUCUGAAAUUACCGAUAAUUUGGAGGUUAGGUUGCAUUAUUAAGCAAUUACCAACGAUGAAAUAGCGAAUAUCGAGCCGCUGUUGACAAAGCCACGGCAAAUCGGUUGUUCGUACAUGCUUGGGAUAACGAGCUCAUUAACCAAAGAUCACCCUCCUCCAUCGAGAGCAGAUCACCUGUCAGUAUGGCGUCGAUAACCGUCUGCACCUGCGAGGGCUUGAUUGUAGCUAAUGUAGAGGCACUCUUUCGCCUCGAUUAAUGACGCACAGGAAAAUGACUUCCUCCACGAUACCGCGAAACCGAUUCAGCUACCACGUCGAUUAACCAUCGUGAAAUAUUGUAAUUUCUUUGUCACCGUGUAAACAGGUGGAAAGGAAUCGUUGAGUAUCUUAAAAUUUACAUACUAAAUAUUCUGUUCUUGAAUUUUUCUAUUAUAAUCUUUUGUUUUC